rnacentral:rRNA from 1 species
AGUGAACGCUGGCGGUAGGCCUAACACAUGCAAGUCGAACGGCAGCACAGUAAGAGCUUGCUCUUACGGGUGGCGAGUGGCGGACGGGUGAGGAAUACAUCGGAAUCUACUUUUUCGUGGGGGAUAACGUAGGGAAACUUACGCUAAUACCGCAUACGACCUACGGGUGAAAGCAGGGGAUCUUCGGACCUUGCGCGAUUGAAUGAGCCGAUGUCGGAUUAGCUAGUUGGCGGGGUAAAGGCCCACCAAGGCGACGAUCCGUAGCUGGUCUGAGAGGAUGACCGGCAACAUGGGGACGGAGAUACGGCCCAGACUCAGACGGGAGGCAGCAGUGGGGAAUAUUGCAGAAUGGGCGGAAGCCUGAGGCAGCAACGCCGCGUGCGGGAGGACGGCUGUCGGGUUGUAAACCGCUGUCGCCGGUGACGAAGCGGGAGGGACGGGAAGGGGUAAAGAAGCAGGGGCGAACGACGUG